UUCUAGUCCAUACUUCUGUACCCC
rnacentral:piRNA from 1 species